rnacentral:rRNA from 1 species
AUUAGUGGCGGACGGGUGAGUAACGCGUGGAUAACCUGCCGUAUACAGGGGGAUAACACUUGGAAAUAGGUGCUAAUACCGCAUAAGCGCACGGUUCCGCAUGGAACAGUGUGAAAAACUCCGGUGGUAUACGAUGGAUCCGCGUCUGAUUAGCCAGUUGGUGGGGUAACGGCCCACCAAAGCGACGAUCAGUAGCCGGCCUGAGAGGGUGAACGGCCACAUUGGGACUGAGACACGGCCCAAACUCCUACGGAAGGCAGCAG